GAGUCGUCACGCGAACAAGGCCAACUUCAC
rnacentral:sRNA from 1 species